rnacentral:misc_RNA from 1 species
UCUCCGUUGGUGAACCAGCGGAGGGAUCAUUACAGAGUUGCAAAACUCCCAAACCAUUGUGAACGUUACCUAUCCCGUUGCUUCGGCGGGCGGCCCGGGCCCCGCGCCCGGCGCCCCCCGGCCCCCCGUGGGCGCCCGCCGGUGGUAAACCAAACCCUUGAAUUGCAUGGCCUCUCUGAGUCUUCUGUACUGAAUAAGUCAAAACUUUCAACAACGGAUCUCUUGGUUCUG